rnacentral:lncRNA from 1 species
GGGGCACAUUUGUAUGGUGAUGGAUAAAAACUAGACUGUUGGUGGUGAACACAAUGCAGUCUAUACAGCAACUGAAAUAUGAUAGUGUACACCUGAAAUUUACACAAUGUUAUAAGCCAGUAUGACUUCAAUGAAAUAAUAUUUUUUAAAUGCAAAAUUAAAAAAAUGGAAUAGGGAGGUUUUUCUUUUUCUUUCUAUCAUGUUUGAAGGGUGAGAGAAGAAGCCAGUGAAGAGGGAGGAUUGAAAAAGACAUGGUAAGGGGCCGACUCGGUGGCAUAGUGUUUGGGUUCGUGCUUCAGCAGCUCAGGUUCCUGGUUCAGAUCCUGAGUGUGGGCCUACACACUGCUCAUCAAGCCACGCUGUGGCAGUGUCCUACAUACAAAAUAGUGAAAGAUUGGCACAGAUGUUGGCUCAGGGACAAUCUUUCUCAAGCAAUAAGAGGAAGAUUGGCAAGAGAUCUUAGCUCAGGGCCACUCUUCCUCACCGGAAAAAAAACAAAAAAAACCCCAGAGAAGCAGGAGAGACUAAAACCUAGAUGAAAGAAAGAGAAGGCUUAGGAAGGGGCAAGGGGAUGAAAGUAAGUCUAAAUGCUUUUAAAUGGUCAUAUGAAUAGUUUCUAAACUUCUUCACACAGAAAAACUCAUGACUUGCCUUGUAAGGAAGAUCUCUUGUGUAGUGUAUAUAGCUAGAACUAUUUUGGUACUCUAAUCCUGGAAUAUUAUAGUAUUGGAUUUGUGCAAUGUACUGUAUGUUUGUGUCUCCCCCCCCCCCCAAAAUCAUAUGUUGAAAUCCUAACCCCCAAUGUGAUGAUAUUAGGAGGUGGGAUCUUUGGGAGUUCAUUAGGUCAUGAGAGUGGAGCCCUCAUAAAUAUAAUGAGUGCCCUUACAGACCGCAGAGAGCUCUCUCUCCCACUCUUUCCACCAUGUGAGGAUACAACGAAAAGUCAGCAGUCUGCAACCUGGAAGAGGGCCUUCAGCGGAACCCAACCAUGCUGCUACCUUGAUCUCAGACUUCCAGCCUUCAGAACUGCAGCAGGAUGGGGGAUUGAAGCAAAAGAGAAAAAGAAGACGUGACGGCAAUCCUUUAAAUCAGUCUGCCAAGAGCAGCCAUACACCCUUUCUACUUGCAUCUCACUGCAGCACACUAUUGAGGCUUUGGCAGUUCUCUCACUUAUGCCUGUUGUAUAUAAUCCAAAGGUUCCCGAAAAGAUGCAACAGCAGGGACCUACUAGUCAAAUGUACAAUAUUCUUGAAAGAAUGAAUCUUGAUUUCCUUUCCUACCCUAAUGAGCUGAUUGACUAUAUAAACACUUCAACUACCCUUCCUCAGUUUCUUAGAUCCUGGAGAAUAUCCUAAGUAGUCAAGUCAAUUCCCUCUUCUUUGGGCCCCACCCAGAGUUCUCCAUAGGAGCCCAGAAGCCUCCAAGAAACUUGGAGAUCCAAAGCUCCAGUGUUCUCCCUGCUCUGGCAGCCUUAUCCUCUCAGUUUUUCUUAAAGGUGAAAUUACUCUCUGCUUGCCUAGCAAGAGAAUAUGAGAGGCAGGUGGGGCAGAAUUGUUAUACUUCCCAUUGUAAAUUACAUCUUAUCAACAGUUUUCUGCAUUUCUGUUGUAGACUUAAUACAGACUAUAUUGUAAUUCCUGAGUGGUUACCAUGGCCCCUGCCUAAAGUGGAGGUGGGGAGAACUACUUUACAACUUCAAUAUUUGAUUAUAUUUUUUGCUUUCAAGGGGGAGGGGAAGACAUAGCAGAAGGAGGAGCUUUGGGGUGACUAGGGGCAGAGGUUUGUGUGAAUUCCAGUUAAUUCAUCUCUAGGUCCUGUCUUUGGGGCUUUCUCAAAGUCCCCUAUUCUUCUGCAAAUACCUGUGACAGCACAGAUUACCAUGUGUGUGCCUAGGUUUUCAGUAUUUGGUAUUUUUCACAGUCCCCGGGAUGACAGUGGAAGUGAAGGAAGUCUUUUUGGUUGGUUUGUUUUUUGUUUUGUUUUGUUUUGUUUUGUUUGCUGAGGAAGAUUUUCCCUGAGCUAAACAUCUGCUGCCAAUCUUCCUCUUUUUAUAUGUGAGCUGCUGCAAUAGCAUGGCCACUGACUGAUGAGUGAUGUAGGUCCAAGCCCAGGAUCCAAACCCAGGCCACGAAAGCAGAGAGUGCUGAACUUAAUCACUAGGCAACCAGGGCUUGUCCAGGGAAGAUUUUUUAAUAGGAUAGGAAGAGUAAAAAUGAUUGCCUAGUCUUAGCAUUUGGCUAGGGUAUCUCCUGGGUAGAGAAACAGGAGUUGUGCCCAAUUAAAGUAAUCCCCGUUUCAAUGUAUCUAUUCACUUCCCAGCAUUGUGGUGUCUCCCUGUGAUUUUGGUGGAGGCUUUCCUGAAUUAUUUGAGCAAUAUAGAAAUUACCAGAAAUGCUCGAUGUCAGGGGUGCUGGCCCGGUGGCACAGUGGUUAAGUUUGCAUGUUCCACUUUGGCGGCCCAGGGUUCACUGGUUCAGAUCCUGAGUGCGGACAUGGCACGGCUUGGCAAGCCAUGCUGUGGUAGGCGUCCCACAUAUAAAGUGGAGGAAGAUGGGCACGGAUGUUAGCUCAGGGCCAUCCUUCCUCAGCAAAAAGAGGAUUGGCAGUAGAUGUUAGCUCAGGGCUAACCUUCCUCAAAAGAAAAAAAAGCUCAAUGGGGAAGUCAAGAGUCCUUAUUAUUAGAUCCCAUGUGAC